rnacentral:rRNA from 1 species
AGUCACUGACAUUAGAUACCCCUGUAGUCCUAGCCGUAAACGAUACUCGCUAGGUGUCGGCCACGGUGCGACCGUUGUCGGUGCCGUAGGGAAGCCGUGAAGCGAGCCACCUGGGAAGUACGGCCGCAAGGCUGAAACUUAAAGGAAUUGGCGGGGGAGCACCACAACGGGUGGAGCUUGCGGUUUAAUUGGAUUCAACGCCGGAAAUCUUACCGGGACCGACAGCAACAUGAAGGCCAAGCUGAAGACUUUGCCGGAUUAGCUG